rnacentral:rRNA from 1 species
GCGUGGGUAGCAAACAGGAUUAGAUACCCUGGUAGUCCACGCCGUAAACGAUGAGCACUAGGUGUCGGGACAUGAGUCUCGGUGCCGCAGUUAACGCAAUAAGUGCUCCGCCUGGGGAGUACGCACGCAAGUGUAAAACUCAAAGGAAUUGACGGGGACCCGCACAAGCAGCGGAGCAUGUGGUUUAAUUCGAAGCAACGCGAAGAACCUUACCAGGGCUUGACAUUUAGGUGAAGCGGCGGAAACGUCGUGGCCGAAAGGAGCCUAAACAGGUGGUGCAUGGCUGUCGUCAGCUCGUGUCGUGAGAUGUUAGGUUAAGUCCUGCAACGAGCGCAACCCUCGUCGUAUGUUGCCAGCGGUUAGGCCGGGCACCCAUACGAGACCGCCGGCGUCAAGCCGGAGGAAGGUGGGGACGACGUCAAGUCAUCAUGCCCCUUAUGUCCUGGGCUACACACGUGCUACAAUGGCCGGCACAAUGGGCUGCCAACCCGCGAGGGUGAGCGAAUCCCUAAAGCCGGUCCCAGUUCGGAUUGGAGGCUGCAACCCGCCUCCAUGAAGUCGGAGUUGCUAGUAAUCGCGGAUCAGCACGCCGCGGUGAAUGCGUUCCCGGGCCUUGUACACACCGCCCGUCACACCACCCGAGUCGAUUGCACCCGAAGUCGUCGGCCUAACCUUUUAGGAGGGAGACGCCGAAGGUGUGGUUGGUAAGGGGGGUGAAGUCGUAACAAGGUAGCCGUACCGGAAGGUGCGGCUG